GACGAACGCCGGCGGCGUGCUUAACACAUGCAAGUCGAGCGGUAAGGCCCUUUCGGGGGUACACGAGCGGCGAACGGGUGAGUAACACGUGGGUGACCUGCCCUCAGCUCUGGGAUAAGCCCGGGAAACUGGGUCUAAUACUGGAUAUGACUCCACGGUGCAUGCCGUGGGGUGGAAAGCCUUGUGCGGCUGAGGAUGGGCCCGCGGCCUAUCAGCUUGUUGGUGGGGUGAUGGCCACCAAGGCGACGACGGGUAGCCGGCCUGAGAGGGCGACCGGCCACACUGGGACUGAGACACGGCCCAGACUCCUACGGGAGGCAGCAGUGGGGAAUAUUGGACAAUGGGCGAAAGCCUGAUCCAGCAAUGCCGCGUGUGUGAAGAAGGCCUGCGGGUUGUAAAGCAC
rnacentral:rRNA from 1 species